AAAGUGAAUAGUGAAAUCUGGGGGCUCAACCUCACAGGCUAUUAUUCAAACUCACUGACUCGAGAACAGCAGAGGUAACUGGAAUUUCUGAAGUAGGGGUAAUAUCCGUAGAUAUCAGAAGGAACACCAAUGGCGUAGGCAGGUUACUGGGCUGUUUCUGACACUGAGGCACGAAAGCGUGGGGAGCGAACCGGAUUAGAUACCCGGGUAGUCCACGCCGUAAACGAUGGAUACUA
rnacentral:rRNA from 1 species